UCAAAAGCUAGUAUCUAGAGGAAAUUUUGUUUAUAUUUUGUACCUGUGUAUCUGUAUUUUACUUAUAAAUGGACUUAGUUUUUCUUCCAGUUAACAUUACAUCCAGUCUGCAGUUAAAGUUUUUAAAACAUUUAUUAGAUUCAUAAACUAUCCAUGAUUUUUUACCAAACUUGGACAGAAGCUUCCUACAAUCCAAACAUGGUAUCAAGAGGUCAGCAGAACUUUAGAAAGUAAACUAUCCAAUGAAUGUUAAAUUUGGUUAAUUGAAUAGGGAAUCACUGAAGCAUGAUUGGAGCAGGCCCUCUCUCUCUUAUGCAGUCAGUGGGUCCCCACUUAUGAAAAUUUCUGGAUGGGCCACUGUUAUAACCAAAACAUUGCAAAAGGACAUUAAUUGAAAUAGCUAUAUUUAUCUACAGUGAACUUUUUGUGAAGGAGAAUAAUUAUUGCAUGAUUCAUACAUCGUUUAUACAUACCAUGCAAGCUUUUUUGUCCUUAAUAGUGCCUUUAAUCAUGUUUUUUGUUUGUGUCAUUAUAUUUAUGACUGACGAACUAGAUAUAUUUGACAAACUUCUUUUAUACCCUGAACAUUUAUGUCAUAGGUCUAUAUUCUACCGGCU
rnacentral:lncRNA from 1 species